CUCGGGUCUGGUGUAUGGGCUGCACUCACUCUCUCUGGCUGUUUUGUGUAUCCCGAUCUGACAGCCCACAUGCCUCUGCUGCACGCCUUGGCCACAGGACACAGAGCACUGAGAAGACACAGGAAGCCAAGAUGUGAAAAGCUGUGCCCCUGCCCAACACUGACUCACAGACUGCGCUCUGCCAGCUGCCUUGCCUUCCCUGCGAUAGAUGGAUAGCCCCUGAAACAGUAAUUCCAACUACGCCCUCCCUGCCAUAGGCUCUUUCCGAGAGGGUGAUGGUUCCUUCAUCAUCAAGAAGUCUGAACACAACCCUGGUGCACGCGCCUGAUUGAGAAGGGCUGAACACCAAAAGAGAAGGAGUUCUCCGGGCUGUACCUUUGCUGAGGAUGCGGACAUAGCCAUGACGAUGGAGUUCCGCACGGACUUGGCAAGUUCAUCACAAAGAACCCAGGAGGAAGAAGAGGGGGAUGUGGAGGUUACCCAUUAUGGCUGUUUGUAAUACGGCUUAAAGACAGUAAGGAUGCUGGUGCUUUCCAGGAAAGGACUGAUGAUGAUGGUAUAAGAACCCACUCUGCCUACAAGAAAAGUACGGAACCAGCUGGAAGAAAAAGAGGGUAGUGGGUGAGACACCAGCUCCAAAACCCUUAGUCGGAUAGUCCAAUGGUAGGUGAAGAAGUGUCUGAGAAGCGGACUGGGAGGUGGCUCAGGGAUUAAAACACUUGCGUUGUAAACAUGAGAACUGGUAUUUAAGACCCCAGCCCUGUGUAAAUGUGAGUUGGGCAUAGUGGUCACCUGUCGUUCAGAAGGAUGAGACAGGGAUCCCUAGGGCAAGCUGGCUCGCUAAGACUAGCUGUAUUGGAGAGUUCUGGGUUCGUCUGAGACUCUGACUCAAUGAAUAAGGUCAAGGGCAACAGCAGAAGACUGGGGAUUCUGUACAUGUGCACAUCUGUGCAGGAGCGCGUGCAGGCACAUGUACUUGCACAUUUGAAUACUCACACCCACGCUCCUGUGUGCCCCACACACAUACAUACACAAAAGGGAGAAAAAUAAGAAGGGUCUGAGUCAGUAACGGAUGGGCAAGCUAGGAUUGGUGGGAACAGUAACCCAAAAUUUCUUGAAACAUGAAGGUAGUAGACUGUGAACAAGGGCUUGGACGGGAGGGAUCGAGGCCAUCUGGAGAUGGUUGUCAGCUAGCAGCUGUCAAGCCUUGGCAGUCCCACUUGAUGUGGCCUGUGUUAGUAUCCAAGGUCUGGGAAGCUUCAGUCACCACCAGGAAGGCUUCUGUAGGAAAGCAGUUCGUCGGUUUGUCUCUUGACUGUGGUGCGCGCCUGCAGAACUGCAUCCCUCUCUAGCCAUGCACCCAUCAGUUAUCUAGAAGACAUGGCCGCACUGUGCUUUUCAUUGUCUCCUCCGGCCUGCCCUGCUUUCUCCGUCUGUCUGACACUUCCCCCUUUCUCCUUUGGUGAAAAGGGAACAUCUUUCUUUAUGUAUAUGAAGCAGCUGUAAACUAGACCACACAGGUGGCCCCCUAUGUCCUUGGACUCUGAGUCCACAGAUUCAACCAAUCUUGGAUCAAAAAUAUCUGGGGGAAAACAGUUACACCUGCACUUAACAUGUAGAAACUUUUCCUUGUUCUUGUUCCCUAAACAGCACAGAAAUAUCUGCAGGACAUUUACAUUGAUUUAAAGGAUUAUGGAAGACAUUCAUAGGUUGUAUAGAAAUACACUAUCUUUUAUAAAGGAACUGAAACUUCUCUGUCUACAGAACAUAGGGAUUCCAGCAAGGGGUUCUGGAACUCUCCAAGCCCCCAAGAUACCAAGGGAGAACUGAAAAAAUAAUAUCCUACAUUUUAGGAAGAAGCCUGGGUAACCAAGUAGCAUUUGGGUGGAUACUAAGCCCACCCCAGAAGUGAGACAUGCAUAAAUAUUUGAGCCUGUUUGCAGAGAUCGGUGUCUGAACAGAUGGACAAAAGGUCACUUUAAACAUGAAUUGCAUCAGAUGCUCAUCCAGCUUCAUAUUGCUCUACUGAGAGAGCAAACAGCAUUUCAUUCUUUCCAACAUGCUUUAUUCAAAUCAUUUAUCUCUUUCCUCAUUUCCUCCUUCUGCCCACAUCUUGGUAAAGAAAUGUCUCAACAAUACCACUGAGAAGGGAUGAGAGGAAAAGAAAUCAAGAGUGACAUGUACGCAAAAGAACGACUUGACAUUAGGAAGAAUUAUGCUUAUUUUUUUUUUUUUUUGGUUCUGUGUCACAAAUUGAAAUUAUUGCAGCACUACUCUAGGAUUUAUUGGAGAGGGUAUCCAAAGGCUAAGGAAGAAGGUUCUGGUUUGGUAAGUGCCAUACUUCCCUCUGUUAUACUACUAAAGACAUCUAACACUGUUUGCAGAUGUCUCCUUGCGUUGGUGAUCAGCGGAAUUGUGAAAUCACAGCAAACACACAUCUCAAAUGCAUAGGUUCCUGACAGAAGCUCUCUUAUCUUGCCACGCAUCUGUUCCUGCUAUAGAUAUUUCCAUCUUAAACAAUAGGAACACCUUAUUUCCAUUUUCCUAGUCCAUAAAACUUGCAGUCCCUUGACUCCAUUAUGUCUUUUGUAUGCUAUAUCCAGACUUCAGCUAACUUUAGCUCUAGCUCAGAAAUAUCUCGGGAACUGCCCCCCCCCAUGCCUCCUCAUGGUUCCUGCGGCCACAGUUAUCUAAGCCACUGUCGUCCUUAUUCAGCCGCUGUUGUUGUCACGCCCGUCACCACAUGGCUUCCUAGAAAGGGGUACCCCUGCUUCCUUCCUUGAAUUCAGAAGCCGGAGUCAACCUUUUAAAAUAAACCCAUGUUCCUGUUCAGCCCACGCCAUACCUCCCUAGGGGUGUCUUAUCUUUCUCUCGGGGAUCUAACCCUUGCCUCCCUCUGCUCACACCACAGUUUAUCUCCCCGUCCCCCAUUCCCUCCGUUAUUCCUGUAUCCUGUCUCUACCUCCUCUACUUCAGCUCGCCUGGCCUCUCUGAAUCACUAAAUGCAGCCCACUCCUGCCUCCAGAAGCAUCCUGUUUCUGGAUGCCACUUGGUUUUCUUUAGUAUUUUCCCUUGUCUAUGUCAAAUGGAGAUUAUCGGAGACUUCCUCAGUUCUUAAAACAAUAGUUCCCUUCUCCUCUUCCAUGCAGAUCCCUACUCUUUUCCCCUUAAUCUAGUUUUACCUAUACAUUUUAUCACUUUCUUUCAAGAUCUCUAUUCUAGACUUUAUGUUGUUGUUAUUUAUAGGCUUCCCUAUAAAUAACACUUAAUAACACUUCACUUCUUAGAAUAUACACUUAAUAAUUUUUGAGACUGUGUGUGUAUGCGUGUGUGUGUGUGCGUGCGCGCUCAUGUGCACAAUAGUGUGUGUGUUCUGUUCAAUCCCUAGUGACUAAAAGCAUGUCUGGAGUAUAGAAAACACCCAAAUAAUUAUACAGUACACAAAUGAGUGCAUCAUUGUAGGGGACCUAAGCUACAGCCAUUUAUCCCAAGAACACUGAAGUAAUAAGCCCACAUUUUCACAAGGCUCAGUCUAAGGACAAACAAAUAGCAAUUGUUAUCUCUAAUCUCUUGUGUCUAUUCACCUCCAAACUGGCUAAUUACCCUUGUGGUUUAGUAUUUAAUUCACUACUAUAAAGCUGAGCACAGUACAGGGGACAACUAAGAGGAAGCUUAUCUGAGAUUGUAAUAGCAAACAAACAGCAAAAGGCAGAAACUAGAAACUCAGCACUAUGCUACCCUCAAAUGCUAGGCAAGCACUGAAAGUUCAGCUUGAGCUGAAAGUGGUGGCACACGCUGUCUGUAAGACCAGCAUUCAGGAAGCCCAGACAGAAGGGUCAUCCUAAAUUCAAGGCCUGCCUGGGUUACAUAAUGAGAACCUGUCUCAAACAACAGCAAUGAUAAUCAAGAAGAAAGAAAAGAAGGACGGAAGGGGAAGGAGGGAAUAACGGAUGAUGACUUCUGAUUUUCCAGGGAGAAAUAUAUAUAUAAUGUAAAUAUAUAUUGCAAUAGGCAAGAGCUAGGGAUGCAGUUUCAGUGGUAGAGAGCUCUCCUAGUAUGGAUGAAAUCCCAUGCUUGAGUCACAGCAUCGAGUAAAAGCAGGUCUGGUGAUAGACCAGUUAUUCUCUUGCUACAUAGAGAGUUCAAGGUGAGCCUGGGUUACAUGAGACUGUCUCCAUGAGAGGAUCAAGAGGAGGGGUGAGGAGGUGAAGGAGGGGGAAGAAGAGGAAGAGGAGGAGGGGAGGAUGCCCCCAGCACACCUAUCUAUUUGGCAAGGUCCUAAUUCUCCAGCUGUUAUGAUGAGGCCAUGUCCAGAAAGACAGCACAUCCUUUGUUUCCAGGACAGACACAGGAAUGAAUCCUCAACCUUCCAGAGUGAUGUUAAUAGUCAGGGAAAAAUGAAGUCAUUUCAAAGUCAGUGCUCAGAGAAUGCUGGGUGACCAAUUCCAAUUUCCAAGGUCCCUAGAUAGCUUUAUUAAAGCAAGCGAAGUGUGAAAAAAAGAUCCAGUUCAAACAAUGCAAAUGUUCAGCUUCCCUCAACUAGUGAUAAGUAAAAUGGAGAAAAAUAAGACCUGGCUAAAACACACUUGGGGAACCUUUGGAUAUCAAAGAAUCAGCCUCAAGGAAUUUUCAAAAGCAGAAGUAGGGCUAAACCUUUUUCACCUGGCAAGGGGUGCUUUUCUUAAUGGAGCUUUUGAUGGAAGAUUUGAGUUGGCUCAAAACUCAGAGCUUUGGACUCCAUCAGAUAUUCAUCCAAAGCUUUCUGAGAAUGUAUUUAACCUUCUGAUGUCACAGUUUUCCUACCUGCACGAUAGACUUAAUCAAAUGUAUUCUGCAGUGUUGUAUAUAACACACAUGAUCUGGGCCAUGGCUCAAAGCACAGGUCCAAAAUUUGGGUGUCUUUGUAAUUGUUUCUGCAUCCCAGUCCAAACCAUCUGAUCAACUACAGAUGGGUACCUAGUGUGCCAAGUCAAGAAGUGUAAGCCAAUGGAUUGCCGAACAUAGACUGUUUGGGAGUGGAUUAAGUCAAGCAAGUAUGAUUUUCAAGUGGCUUCAUUGCUCAUCGUUUUUAGGGAAAAUCUGCACGUUAAAUCCCUAACCUUGAAUUACUGGCAAGAUUAUAUGUGCUCAAAGGUCAAAAUUAAAAUGAAUGAAUGAAUGAAUUUGAGACAUGGUCGCAUGUAUCCCAGGCUGGUCUUGAACUUCCUAGGUAGCUGAGGAUAACCUUAAGCUCCUGAUCCUUUUGCAUCUACAUACUGAGUGUUGAGCUGUGGCCAGGUCAUGCAACAUCAGGACUGGAGCCCAGGGCUCUGUGCACGCUAGGCAAACACUCCACCUACUGAGCUACUUCCCAGACCUUCUAACUUUAAUUUAAAGUACUCGUUUGGUAUGGUCCAUUAACAACUUAAGGUUCAAUUUAAUUGUAGAAAACUGCAUUCAUUUAUCUCAUGGGGAGUCAAAUAUGAAUGUCUGCUUUUCUCCAGUCUUCUUCCAUCAAAUUGUUUAAAUUUGGGGUGUGGGGGAUGCAUUAUUUCAUUACAUGUUAAACCCCAUUAUGCAAUUCCUUAGGAUAAUGGCAGUACCUGGAUUUUAUUUUAUUUGCUUUUCCCUACCAGCUGACUAUUUUAGCUAGCUAGCAUCCCAGCUUUAGUGGCACUUUGGUAGGGUCGACACACACAGACCUGGAGCCCCAUGUAGCUGGGGACAGUGGUGAGUGUGCCCAGCACAAAAUCACAGACUUACUGAAAACGUAAGGAAUUUGUGCGUGUGAUGAUUUUCACAAAGAUUUGUUUUUAGAUUUUAUUUACUUGUAUGUGUGUGUGUGUGUGUGUGUUUAAGUGAAUGUGUGUCAACUUGUUUGCCGAUGACUAUGGAGACUACAAGAGGGUGUUAGAUACCCCAAAGCUGGAGUUCCAGGAAGUCGUGAGGUGCUUGACUUGGGUGCUGGGAACCAAAUUCAGGUUCUCUGGAAAAGCCAUCUCUCCAGCCCCUCUGAUAUUUUUGUAAUGCAUUUGUAUAAGUCUUAAGUGUGAACUGUGAAGUUAGCAAUAUCAUUAGUAGGCAUUUGAGGGUCUGGAGUUUUGGUUGUAUUUGUGACCUUUUUUAAAAAGAGAAGAAAUACGACUUUCCUUUCGGAUCCAAGAAAUUCAUGGCCUACAAUGUUCUCUGCCUCUGUGACCUCAGAUUCACACCUUCCAAUCUGAGUCUAUUUGUCUGUAUUUGUGGCAUGGGUGGAGGACUGGCAGAUAUAUAGCAUUUGCCAUCUGCUAAAGCAGCAAGGAUUUGCAAAGAGAAAAAUGUGUGCAUCUGGAGGAACGGAACUCAGAAACUCUCUUUCCCAGAAAUUCAUGUACAGAAAAAGUCAAAGUCAUACAGCUUGAAUAACUGAUUCUUUGAAUAGUUUCCUCCAAUGAAUUAAAAACACAGAUGAGACAUAAUUAAUGUCCCGAGGUCACAAAGUAGCGAAAACUUGGCCAUCUGUGCAAGACAACCUUGCUCUUCCCAGCGAAGAGGAGGAGAAUAACUGUACAACCUCAAAGACUUUACUGACUCAAAAGUAGGGAUUUGGUAUCAAGUACAUUUGGAAAUAUUGAGGGUCAGUGACCCAGUGCUUAUAAAAACAUGAAAAGCCAAAUUCUGCCAUGAGAAAUCAAUAAAUUUAUCGGGCAGGUCAUUUUGCCAUCCUCCUAGCCCAUCAUUGGCUGAUGUCUGAAGACAGUUUUGGUUAUCUAUCACAGUGUAGAGGGUGUGAAAUAGGCACCAGAAAGGUAGAGACCAAGGAAGCUGAUAAGCAUUCUCCAGUGCCCAGAAGGAUGCCCUCCAAGAAGGAGGUAUUUGGUCUCAAGUGUCAUGAUGGGAAAAGUCUAAUCUAUACUUGUUUAAAAUGUGUACAUUGCUCUAUGCACCGCUAUCUUAAUUCCUAAUCAGAAUCAUGCUCACCCAUUUCCCAGACAACAUGCUCACUAGAAUUAAUCUUACUUUUGAAAAUAUUCCCAAACAGCAACCUACAUAUUCAAAUGUGACAUUUAAACCCUGUGAGAUGCUAAAUGCUGUUGGGCUCUUACAAGGGAGGGGAGUUCUGUCAUUGCCAGAACAGCUAAUACAAAAGAAUCACCAAGAACUAUCAAAUGUUCUGGAAUGUCGAGGAAUAUCCCAUUUGCAUGGUCACUAUUUGGUUUAGAAAGGUGUUUACUCAAGCCUGAAUUGGCAGGUGAAAUUUCUCUCGCCUUAAUGGGCCACUUCAAUAUAUAUACACUCACCCGUACCCUUGUGUGCCCCCUGUGCGCUCAACCUCUAGAAUGAGUGGCACUCUUUCCUGGUUUGCAAGUCCAUAGUCUGGCUAGACAAUCUACUUUCUGGAGACUUCUACUUUCAGCUUAAUCUUGUCAGGAGUUGACAGAUAGGGAUGGCUUCCUAGGAUCUCAGAAUGUUGUUUGACAGGAAUGUCACCUCUCUGGAGAGGGAUUUCCAAUAGCUCUUCCAUCAGUCAGACUUUCAAUGGGAAGGUCUCUCUCUCUCUCUCUCUCUCUCUCUCUCUCUCUCUCUCUCUCUCUCUCUCUCUCUCUAAUAUAUACCAGACCUUUCCAUUUUAGCCCUCUUUCGAGGUACUAGGUGAAGUAAAACUUUGCUGGGCUGUCCUGUCUUCACUGUAUGAUUAAUACCACUCCCCUUUCAACUGCUUGGUGCUGGGAGAACCUCCACUCCCAGAAGAAACUAUCAAAAGUGUCUCCUGACUUUGCUUAAAGGUUCAUUGAGGGAUAAAAUCAGUCCCACGUGAGAAUCACUGAUUUAUCCUAAGGCUCCUGGAAAGUCCUUCAAGUUCCCUGAGCUGGCUUGAUUUGAAUAGAUGUUGAGGGGGUGGGGCUCACAGCCUUCCUGAUAAAUGGAGGUUAUAGAGCCAUGUGGGUAUCACUGCUGCAAAGUUAGGGACUUGGGUCAAUAAGUCGGGGAGCCUCUCUCUCUUAAGGACAUGUCCUGUACAGCACGGAAUCCCUUGGAACAUAUUUAACAGGAUUUCAAUUACAGUAGCAAGCUCUAGGGGACAACAUUUCUCCCUGACAUCAGCUGACGACUGGCCAUCUAAGGGAUUCUUAGGUCACAUCUGAUUCAAGGCAACCACGGAGAAGGGAACAUGGCUUUCUCAGUGUCCUGCAUGCAGAACUGCACAACAGGUAAGCUGGCUGGGCGAGGGGUUUUGACUAAGCUCAAAGAAAACAAACAGCACACAAGUUUGGGGGAAAAAAGUCUUUUGUUCGGGUAGGCUUCGGGUAGGGGUGAGUUAAAGGGGGGCCUGUGUUAUGUAUUAGAAUUUGAGAGUAGGGAUUGCAUUGAAAGAAAGCUGGGAUUUCCCUGGGGAAGGGAGACAUAAAAGGCGCAACUUUCAGAUGCCCAGAGGCCUUUUAUUUCUGUUGCACAGGACAGAGGGAACCGUGCAGGGAGGAAGAGAGAGAGAGCAAGAAAGCGAAAAGCGAGAAAGGAAAGAUUGGAUCCUGGGUGGGAAGGGCAAGACCCCUUUCUUUGUCACUGCAGGGCCAAAGUGUGAUGACAAAUGCCCCCUAAAAUUUUUCCAAGUUUAAUGCUUUGUAAUAAAUCCAGAUCUACUCUUUUUCCCCUUGUAAAGGAAAAGGCAAUAUGAACAUAUUUAUUUAAAUAGAUGUUUAAGAAUUUUGUGGAAUUUCAAAUGCACAUUCCCUUUCCCCACCUCAUCCAGAGUUCCCCGACCACCAACAUCAACAGCUCCCUCAUCCCGUCAGCUCUCUGGCUACCUGUGUCUGCCUUCUCACCUACAUACAGGCUAUGACCAUUUCGUCUUUUCCUCAACCAUCACACUAUCAGGUCAUUUUGGUUUUUUUUUUUUUUGUCUGUUUGUUUUUAAUGUUUUGGAAGUGGCUUAGGGGCAAAAUUGCUUUAAUCUUUUCUUGUUCCAAUGUUUAGAUAGCCCACCUUCUGGAUGGCAUCUCAAUUUAGGAUGCCUCCCUAAAAUGUGUGCAUGGAGGAUUUUAUGUCUGGACACUGAGAAUGGCAAUUAAUUGAGGACCCCGUGAGUCAAUUUGCAGAGGAUGCUUUUGUACGUGUUUCAGUUUGGUGGAGGGGGGGGGGGGCUUGUCAAUUUGAGGCGUGGCUGUGAAUGGACUCAUUGAGGUUUCCUUAACACCACAGAGGCUGGGGUUUGCAGAGGCGAUGAUAACAAAGGAGAGAUCAGCGCCUCUCUGGAGUCCCCCAUGUGUCUUUGAAAUGGAGUCCUGCCAAGCUAAUCUGCUCCAUGUCACCUGCUGGGUUCAGUGACUCUGGAAAAAGCUGUCUUCCUAGAGCUUUCCCCUCAAGGAGACAAUGAUCCCUUGGAAUUUCAGAGUCUACCUGGAGCUUUCAAUAUCACCUUCUCGCUAAAGGCCUCAACCAGGGUUGGCCCUUCCAACCCAUGGCACACACAGACUGUCUCCUUUAGCGAGUUUCUGGCCACUGCGAACUUGAAUGCUCAGCCACAGAAGAGGAGCGUUUGUUUCAACAGCUGCUUUGAUGAUGAAAAGCUGGAGCUAUGCCUCCCAGCACAGCUGGUUCUGACUGUCUGUCUUUACCUUACCCUGCUUUUCUCUAAUGCCCAGUUGUGGCCCACUGAUGUUUUGUAAAACAAAAGCACAAACUCCAAGAAGGGCAGGAGAAGACUAGUUACCGGAGACAUGCUGUGCAGGGGCUUCUCGGUGCUGACACAGGAGUCUUCUCCCUUUACUUUUAUAAAUUUGAUUUUGUCUAGUUUAUAACUAAUUGUUAAAUAUGCACUGUUGCCAGGUUGUCCAUCUGGUAUUGCAGUCUUUAGGGUGACUAUGGUUAAUAGAUUUAUAAAUUAAUACCCUUAAAAGAGAGGCUUCCAGCCCCUUGUUUACAUUAUAUGUGUUUGGGAUUUGUUUUGGCUGGUGUGGGGAUAGAAUGUUGGGCCCAGUCCCAGCUACAACAUGCUUUGUCACUGAGCUGUACUUAUCCCUAACUACUUUUUAACCUUUCCAGAGAAUCUUUGUAAAAAGGUGUGGCUAAGCUGUUCAGGCUGACCUUUAAUUUGCCUGGAAGCCAAGGCCUUCAAAAUUUGGGAUUCUCCUGCCUCAAGUUCCCUUGUUGCUGAAAUUAAAGGCCUGUGUCACCAGUGUGUGUAUGUGUAUGUAUGUGUCUAGUGUUGGCAACAUAUUACCAAUGACUUUCAUAUUGGAAACCAGCAACACAGAAUAGUUUCCUCACUGUAAGAUGCUGUAGGUCUGUGGAUCAAGGCAUAACUUCUUCCACAGAGGACCAAUGGGUUGCAGAUCUGGACAGGAAUGAUGGGCUCUGGACUAAGCCAGUGUGUGCUCUAUCUUAUUUACUGCUAACUGUACACAUUUGUUUUAGCUGCCAAUUUUCUAGUUUACAAACUCUGGAAAGGGUUUUAAAACUGUUCGCAACAACAAUUCCACUGCAAGGGAAUGGUAAGAAGCAGGGAAGACAGCACCCACUCCACACGCUCCAGAUGUUUUUAUUGGCCUCUAUUAAAUAACAAAGGGGAUCUGUGCCCUUAGAGCACAACUUCCCCAGAAGGAGCCCAGACCAAUCAGUCACAUUAGGGACCUAAUGUGGGCAGACUCUAGGCCAGGACUUAAAAAAACAAAAACAAAACAACAAUAACAACUAAGGUUCUGCUUCCACAGUGUUGGGUGUCUUAUUUUAAAAUGAUUGGACAACUUCACAUCUAAUCGGAUUGCUAAUUUUUUUUUAUUGAGCGAAUAUCAUCAGCAACAGUGAAAUUGUGGGUUCUAGUAGCAAUGUAUUCUUUUAUUUUUAGCUGAUGGAGCUGCCAGCCAAAGAAGUGUUGAGUCUUUGAUUACAGGAGCUUGAAUUUCUCCAUUUUUUGCUAAAAGUUCCCUUUGUCCUUUGUAAAGCACGACUCUGACGUGGUCCUUGCUGUACCUGUACCUGUCAUGUGUGUAACAGGACCCAACCCACAAUAGGCACCGAAAAUAUCUGCUGGGAAAUGAAUGGCUUUUAUUUGGAAGAUAUCAAGGUGACAUCUUUAAUCCCUUAUAUUCUUCCCCAAGACGAACCUUCUGGAAAAAGUCUUUGCUGAUGUCCAGGAUUCCCCCCCCCCCCAGCCAAUUACUCUUGGAUGUAACCCCUUCUUCCCCCUCCACAUUCCAGUGUUUUCAUCCCUCUCCUCAUUGGCCAGACAACUCCUGAGUCAGGUAGAGGGCAUAGCUUUCCCUGAGAGCACGUCCUCCCAUCUCUGGGCUUUGUAAAUACAUAAGAAUAGAGAUCUGCUAAGCCACCCUGAACAAGCUGUCAAAAGAUGUGAUGAAACAGCUGUCCACAGAGGUGACACAGUCACACAGCCAUCAUCAACAGAUAAGCAAUAUUUACAGUCUGUUGAGUUUCUUUUUCAAUAAGUAGAUGCAGACAAGCAUUCUGAUGGCUCUAAACACUGGACAGAGGUGUUUUAUAGUUUGUCUUAAUCUAUAUUGAACUUAGUGAAAAUGUGAUUUUUCUAUGUCAUGGUCUUUUGAAUAAUAAAAAAAGCCAAAACAAUAACUAUUUAGCUGAGAUUGAGGAAGAGGGCCAGGAAAUCCAAGGCCAACCUAGGCUCCAGCAAGAUGUUGCCUCAAAAUAAAGCCAACAGGUAGUGAGGAUCUUUUGUUUUUAAAAGGCUAGGUGUGUGUUUAAGACUCGAGUUCAUUUAGGAAAAAUAUCAUUUACAUUUUUAUAUUUAAUUGCAUUUUCUUCAAAGUUGAAAUCUUACAUAAUUGCCCUACUCUGACCAAAAAUUUCUCUGUAACAUGAAAGAAAGAGUUGUUUUGCCUUUACAUGACAUUUCUGAAACAUCUGAUUAUGGGAACUUGCCAAUAGCAGCAAUAAUUUAGGAUUUUCUGUUAUUGGACUCAAAUGCACAGUGUCGGAAUCAGUCUAGCAUUGUUCAGGGAGGAUGGUAUUUGAAUUUCAGGAAUCUCUUAGCAAAGGUCUCAUAACUCACCGAACAUAACCUGUUUCAUGUCUCUCAAAACAGGAUUAAUGGAGUGGACAGCCGCCACGAGCAGUCUUGUCACUAAUGUAUAGUAACAUGUAAUGUGGUGUAGCUAUAGUAACAUGUAAUGUGGUGUAGCAGUGGUCCCCUCACGGGACAGCAAAAAGGCUGGCGCCCAUAGACAUGCUCAAUAAGGUUAGCUAUGGUUAUUGUUAUCUACUUUGCAAUGCUAUUUUUUUUUGUCACAUCUUUAUAAACCUCUAACUCAUACAAGUAGCUCUCCCCUCCCCUCAUUUUGGAGUUUUUUGUGUGUGUCAAGUACUACUACCAGCAAGGGGGUGACGUGGAGGAUGGAUCGAGGCAUAAUCACCUGAAUACAUAUUUUGGCAAAGGGGAGGCUGCCUUGGAACUUCCACCUUCAUUGCUAUAAUAUUUAUUUGUCUUUAAUAAUAGAUUCUUUUUGAAGUGUAUCGAAGGUGAACAAAUAAAAAUAACAAACGGAAGCCUUCUGCCGUUGUCUGGCCAGAGACCAGGUGGACCCCAGUGUGGACGCUUUAGUGCUUUGUCUCGGAAUCUUCUCUUCUAGCCCAUCUUUCUUUGUCUUCUGGGUGGGUUUUUUUUUUUUUCAAUAUCUUCAAAUUCAGUAAGCAAAACUUUCUGAUUUCAUAGUUGAAACUCAAUGAAUCAAGACAACAUUAUCAGGAAAGGAAAAGCUACCCAACGCAAGGUUAAGCCUCACAGAUUUCUGUUCAUCAUCUCUAAUUCAGAACUGAUUUAACCUUUAACCUUUCAAACGCACACUUCAGCUCAGCCAUCAUGACAUUUAAUACAUGGCUACUUGGAGUUAGGAGGGGGGUGAUAGAGCGAGUUUACAAAAUUUAAAUAUAUAUAUAUAUAUAUUAAUCAAAAGAAACAUACUUUCACUUCUAAAUCUUAUAUUUGCCUUCAUAGUCAGCUCUCACACACUAGAUUUUAGACAUUGCUUAUGAAAUUAAAUAACUUGGAAAAAUAAAUACGCUUUAUUAUAUAAAGACAUAUAAAUCUGUACCACCCAAAAUAUUCAGAAAUACGUAAAUGUGACUGCUUAAAACUAUUUUCCAGAAAAUACGGUUGUGAUAUUUAUGACCUUUGAUUCACGAUAUAAUGAGAUUGUCAAACACUGACGUCAAACCUUUCGUCUUUCUACCUAUAGGCACUGCACAGUGUGAUAUGAAAAUGAGGUAGACACAAAUCCUUAAGUUGGCCAGGCUGAAACACAAGCAUAGUCCCCUUCCCCGCUCAUGGCCUCUCAUCAUUCAGAGCUAUGAGCACAGCUCUUAAAGGCUCAGUGAAUACACUGAGUUGCCACGAAAACACCCAAACAAGCAAUUUCUGUAGAGAAGAACCACUAUCUACAAGAGACCAGUGAACAGAAAUACAGGGCAAUGCAAAAACAAAUGCCACCGAACUACCCUGGGGGUGUGGCGGUGGCAGU